GAUGAACGCUGGCGGCGUGCCUAAUACAUGCAAGUCGAGCGAACGGACGAGAAGCUUGCUUCUCUGAUUUUAGCGGCGGACGGGUGAGUAACACGUGGAUAACCUACCUAUAAGACUUGGAUAACUUCGGGAAACCGGAUCUAAUACCGGAUGAUAUUUUGAACCGCAUGGUUCAAAAGUGCAAUACGGUCUUGCUGUCUCUUAUAGAUUGAUCCGCGCUGCAUUAGCUAGUUGGUAAGGUAACGGCUUACCAAGGCAACGAUGCAUAGCCGACCUGAGAGGGGGAUCGGACACACUGGAAGUGAGACACGGUCCAGACUCCUACGGGAGGCAGCAGUAGGGAAUCUUACGCAAUGGGCGAAAGCAUGACGGAGCAACGCCGAGUGAGUGAUGAAGGUCUUCGGAUCGUAAAACACUGUUAUUAGGGAAGAACAUAUGUGUAAGUAACUGUGCACAUAUUGACGGUACCUAAUCAGAAAGCCACGGCUAACUACGUG
rnacentral:rRNA from 1 species